GUCGAGGGGCAGCGAGAGUGAUAGCAAUAUUACUUGUCGGCGACCGGCGCACGGGUGCGUAACGCGUAUGCAACCUACCAUCAACAGGGGGAUAACACUGAGAAAUUGGUACUAAUACCCCAUAAUAUCUCAUGCGGCAUCGCAUGGGGUUGAAAACUCCGGUGGUUGAUGAUGGGCAUGCGUUGUAUUAGCUGGUUGGUGAGGUAACGGCUCACCAAGGCGACGAUACAUAGGGGGACUGAGAGGUUAACCCCCCACAUUGGUACUGAGACACAGACCAAACUCCUACGGGAGGCAGCAGUGAGGAAUAUUGGUCAAUGGACGCAAGUCUGAACCAGCCAUGCCGCGUGCAGGAUGACGGCUCUAUGAGUUGUAAACUGCUUUUGUACGAGGGUAAACCCCGAUACGUGUAUCGGGUUGAAAGUAUCGUACGAAUAAGGAUCGGCUAACUCCGUGCCAGCAGCCGCGGUAAUACGGAGGAUCCGAGCGUUAUCCGGAUUUAUUGGGUUUAAAGGGUGCGUAGGCGGUUUGAUAAGUUAGAGGUGAAAUGUCGGGGCUCAACCCCGAAACUGCCUCUAAUACUGUUGGACUAGAGAAUAGUUGCGGUAGGCGGAAUGUAUGGUGUAGCGGUGAAAUGCUUAGAGAUCAUACAGAACACCGAUUGCGAAGGCAGCUUACCAAACUAUAUCUGACGUUGAGGCACGAAAGCGUGGGUAGCAAACAGGAUUAGAUACCCUGGUAGUCCACGCAGUAAACGAUGAUAACUCGUUGUCGGCGAUACACAGUCGGUGACUAAGCGAAAGCGAUAAGUCAUCCACCUGGGGAGUACGUUCGCAAGAAUGAAACUCAAAGGAAU
rnacentral:rRNA from 1 species